AUGCAUUUGAAAUUAGCAUGUCAUUUAAUCUUUCAGUCUAAUAUUUUGCUGUCUGCAUGACUGGGUGUUUAGCCUGGGUUAUAUUCUGUAUAAUCUGUUUCAAGUGCUUGCAGUGAAGCUGCAUGCUCUUGGCAUAGGUAGCACACCAUUAACACAAAUGCUGUGACCAAAAUCUCAGUCAACUUCCAACACCAGAACGGCUUUCAGCAAUAACCCCAUGGUCCUGUAACAAUGUUUAAAUAAACAGAAAGGUGUGGCUGAAAUUCCAAUACUAUUCAUACAAAAUACUUCCAUGGAUGUAGCUCCUUUGUACCCUCUUUUAUUGUAGUUAAAUUUACCUACAUUCUCUUGCUGGCUUCCGCAUGCUUUAGCAUCCAUAAAUAAGUUAAUAACAAAUCCCUUACCUCUUUUCUCCAUUCUGAAGGCAUGCAAGGUAACAUUUAUAAUUUAUAAUGAGUUAAUAUCUGAUUCUUAAAUGCAGGGAAGUUCAAGCAAAUUUAUUUUGGACUAUGUGCAGGAUAAUAAAAAAAAUUAAUUUGCAUCAACAGCAUAACAAAAGUAUUUUAAUGUACAUCUUAGUGUUGUUAUUUUCAACCCCUUGGACAAUCUCUUAUCUCUGAUAAAAACAGGUAGGGAAGAGGGAGGUGAUUGAAUUCCUGGACAUGAUUUAAGUGGAGUUGUAGCCAUCUUGGAAAGUUUAGCUCCAAAUGUUGGAGACUGAAUUUGCAACUUGUUUAAAAUAAUGUUGACAGAAGGCCUGUUCUGAUUUGCAGCAAUUCUAACUAAGAGAAGUGGGGGAUCACAGGGUGCUGUGGAUAACACAGCUAUUAUGCAAAUGUACAACCUUAAAGUUGUGCUGUUUGCACCAAUAGUUUUGUAAAAAUCUAUGCCAAUACAGGAUGAAUUUCAGAUUUCCCCCAAUAAAAUCUGGUUUAAUACCCUGGUGGUGUUGAAACUUCAGCCAACUGUUGGAAAUGCUAAGCAUUUCAUUGAUAUCUAGUAUCCUAACCAAAAUUACAAGAAAACAAAUGACCAAGAUAAAGUAUGAAAAUAACUUUUUUUUUUUUUUUAACUGAGAGUACUUUCUAUUUCCAUUCUAGUCAAAUCUCUCAUUGAAUAAAGUCACAACUUUGUAUAAAAAGUAUUUAUGAAGAAUAUCUGGAGGAAAGACAAAGUGACUUGUAGUUGUAAAUGGAUUUCAGUAGUUAAAAUAACCAAGCUGUAAUCAAAGCUCUGGAGUAAGCAUUGGCAACAUUUUUAUGCCAUUCCCCAAUAUCAAAGUAUUUGAAAAUAAACAAAAUAUAGUUAAUCUGGGCAGUAAAUAGUUUUCUUCUUCAGUAUAUUAUUCAAUCUUUAAUUAUCUUGUAAAGGAAGUGGCUGAAAAUAUCGUAUAAUGUCAAAUGUUUACUACCACAAGCCAGAGUAUUCCCACAGCACAGAAAUUGACUAUAUCCAGUAUAUCUACAUUGGAAGACAAAGUAUUUUUUAUUUGCUUUUCUGUUUUCCAGAGUGCAAUUGCCAAACAUGGCUGCACUUCAUUUGAUAAUAAUGAUACCCUUGCAAAGCAGGGCUUGAGGGGUGAAAGUGCAUGAAAGUCCACAUUAUGACUCUGAUUUCAAAGACUUGCUUUUAUUUUAAGUCACAUACAGAGUUAUUUAUCCAGAAAAACUUUUAAAUCUCAAGCCCCUUUUUGGUUCUUUCUUCUAAAAAAAGUAUAAUUAGUUCAGGAUGGAAGACACAUGUAAGUAAUUUUCUGAAAUUAUUAUACUUUUCUGAAAAUUUGGUGGUGGUUGGAUUGCAGGGAGCAGAGAAAAAGAUGGAGCUGUCAGACUCUUGCACCACACUACUGUAGGGAAACUGCAUUUAACUCCUUCUCACAACAGAAAAAAAUCAGUCACUAUCAGUUAAAAAGAAAAAUGAGCCAAAACUAUCUGAGCUGCUAUUUAUUUAGUCACAUUAUAGAAAAUAAUUACACUUAAGUCUCACCAGAUAAGGAGUUUCUCAGCCUUCAUCUCAGUAUAAGGCUUGACCUUGAUUCUGACCUUGUUCAGCCAAAUCUCCUCUUAGACAGUGAAGGAGGAGUUUUUGUUUGAAGAUGGGAUCCUGUGUGAGUGGUGUUAGUGAAGGAGAAUGUACACAUGAGGUCUGAGGUGCAGAAAUUACUGCAGGAAGUACCUGAAUUUCCCUUUCUCUAUUCUGCUCUGGCAUCCAUGGCUGAGAUGAGGAGGAGACUAAUGCAUCUCACAUUGCUCCUGCAACACUUUGUCCUGAAAGGGCAGGACAAGAUUUUAGUGUGUCAAGACCAUGGAGGGAAAGAGUUACACUUUAGAGGGUACUUUAUAGGAUACACCUCCCAUACUUUUUCACUGUCACAUUAAUCCUUUUAAUUGCUAUUUUAAGUCCUGCUCAGUUGAAGAGUAGUAAUUUUCUUUCCCAGCCUUAAGAGCUGCCUGCCUUAGUCUUUUAAUUUUGAAACUCUUUUAAUGGGUAGGUCAGAACCAUGUGAGCUUGUCAGAAGAGACCUCCCACAGGCAAAGCAUGGACUAGUUCUUAGCCUGUGUGACAGUAAACAUUCCAGUUCCCACUACUGAACCUCAGGGAAAAUAUUAUGUGCCAACUGAAGCAAAACCUACAAGUCAAAUUAUUUGGCAUCAAAGGCCACAACCACCAAACCAGAGCACCACAGAGAAUCAAAGAACUCCUCCUGCCAUGCAGAGGAAUGAUGGGGAAUGCACUGCCUCUCUGCAGUGCAAAACUACCACACCUGUAUUCACACAGUGGGGCAAUGUGUUGGGCAUUCCCAGCUCUCCCUUUUUCCUUACCCUGAUGUGCAUUCCUGUGUGUAGGUGUUUUAGGGGUAAUCUUAUACAUGUCACAAAAGCCUAAAGCUCCAAAACCACUUCUGGCGUUUAACCAACUUUUGACCUGGGCUGAAGGUGAAGUUCUGAUUUAGCAUUAUUAACAAUCUCUUGCCUACAGGGAGACUGUUUCCCAUUAGCAAGUGUUGUUUUGUUCCAUUAUGCUCAUUAAACUUGGUAUUUCCUAAAAGAGAGAUGACUGAAACUGGCUGUCAGGUUCUCAGAUAUUUAUUCAUCAGUCUAAAAUGCUGAACACGGCAUCAACAACCUAAUUGCCUGUGGUGUCAGAGCUGUUUCAACCAGCUACUCAUCAGUCCAAUAGUGUACCACUUCAUUUGGGUUGAUUAUUGCAAAAAAAUGCCACUGUGGUAGAUGAUUUUGUUAAUACUACUGAGACAAUUGUGCUCCUCAGCAGUUAAAAAGAGAGGAGGGAAGAGAACAUAAAAUAUCCUCUGCACUGCUGUGGCCUGGGGGCAAGUCUACACCCUUAUUUCAGUGUUGUGUUGUAAGGAAGAAAAAAAAAAAGCUGUUGUGCCAAAAUGUUUCCAGGGAUAUUUUCUCCAAACACCACACUAAUUGUAAUGAGCUGCUGCCUACAUGCCAUGUAAUUUACUUUUCUAGCUUGUCUUUGAACAUAGUAAGCACUGUGAUACAAUUAACUCACACGUAGCACAGAUAAGAGCUAAUUCCUGCUUACAGAAACACCUGACAGAAACUCACUGCCUGAGACAGGCCUUGCUGGAUUCUAUUCUACAAAAAUAAUUGGUAAGGAAAUAUUUUUCAUUUGGCUUCUCAAAUGAAUUGCACUUUUUCAGUUAGUGGCUAUCUUGCUAUCACUCUGAGUGCUCUUCCUCUUUAUGCUCUUCUAUGAAGAAAAAAAGAGUUCUCUUGUGUGCAUUUACUGUGUUAUGUACCUGUUCCCUGCAUAUUAACUCUAGACCACCUCAAACAUCAAAUCAAUGACAAUAUGAAUUUCUUGCAUGGACUUCACUAGUUAGUGCAAAUCAUUACCUCCUCACAGCAAAAUUACAAUGUUGAUGCUGCAAUAUUCUUUUUAUUUACUUGUAAUACACUUCUUACAAUGUAGGAGGAAUUUGCAUGUGAUCAUCAUUUCAAAUAGCUUCUCUGACAUGGUGAAAUGAGAGAUGUCAUAAUUACUGAAUGCUAUUAUCUUUAAGAGAACUCAUUUCCUGAGCUAAUGGAGUAGCCAUCAUAAAUAAAUGCACUACAGCAUAAGAAGAUGAAAAGCUGUAUCACUUGGCAAGAGGUGUGGUUUUUAAAGCGUCACAGUGUUUGCUCUAUGUGGGAGCAGCAGGUUCAAUUGUACAGAUUUCAGUGAAAGUUUAGCCUAUUACUAGUAGUCAUUGGCUGUUUCCACUGCUAAAGAAGUUGUUAACGAGGUAAUGAAUAAUUAUUAUUAAUUAAUAUUAAUAUAAGUUUAAUCUCUAUAGUUUGGUGGUUCUGGUGAGACCCCACCUGGAAUGCUGCAUCCAGCUUGGGAGUGCUCAGCACAGAACCUGUUGGAGCGAGUCCGGGGCAGGCCAUGGAGGUGAUCAGAGGGCUGGAGCACUCCUCCUGUGGAGACAGGCUGGGGUUGUUCUGCCUGGAGGAGAAGGCUCUGGGGAGACCUUAGAGCCCCUUCCAGUACCUAAAGAGGCCUACAAAAGAGUUGGAGAGGGACGUUUUACAAGGUAGUACAGUGAUAGGACAAGGGGGAGUGGCUUUAAACUGAAAAAGGGAGGGUUUAGAUUAGAUACUGGGAAGAAAUUCUUUACUGUGGGGGUGAUGAGGCACUGGCACAAAUUGCCCAGAGAAUGCUAUCGUGUUAAAGUGAACAGGAAAACAAAAAGAAAACAAAAAGAGCAUAGAUUUCAAGAUAACACAAAGGAAUUUACCUUA
rnacentral:lncRNA from 1 species